rnacentral:rRNA from 1 species
UACCUUGUUACGACUUAGCGCCCCUUACCGGCCACACCUUCGGCGACUCCCUCCCUUGCGGGUUGGGCCAUCGACUUCGGGUGCAACCGACUCAGGUCACUUGACGGGCGGUGUGUACAAGGCCCGGGAACGUAUUUACCGCAGCAUAGCUGAUCUGCGGUUACUAGCGAUUCCGACUUCACGCAGUCGAGUUGCAGACUGCGAUCCGAACUGGGACCGGAUUUUUGGGAUUAGCUCCACCUCGCGGUCUUGCUGCCCUCUGUUACCGGCCAUUGUAGCAUGUGUGUAGCCCAGGGGUAAGGGCCAUGCGACUUGACGUGAUCCCGACGUUUGU